rnacentral:rRNA from 1 species
UACGAGGGGAGCAAGCGUUGUUCGGAUUUACUGGGCGUAAAGGGCGCGUAGGCGGCCACGACAAGUCACUUGUGAAAUCUCCGGGCUUAACUCGGAACGGUCAAGUGAUACUGUCGGGCUAGAGUACAGAAGGGGCAACUGGAAUUCUCGGUGUAGCGGUGAAAUGCGUAGAUAUCGAGAGGAACACCUGCGGCGAAGGCGGCCCCCUGGUUGGAUACUGACGCUGAGACGCGAAAGCGUGGGGAGCAAACAGG